rnacentral:misc_RNA from 1 species
AAGUCGUAACAAGGUUUCCGUAGGUGAACCUGCGGAAGGAUCAUUAUUGAAUAAACUUGGUUGGGUUGUUGCUGGCUCUUAGGAGCAUGUGCACACUCACUCCAUUUUUAACCACCUGUGCACCUUGUGUAGAUCUGGACAACUCUCGGGGAAACUCGGUCAGAGAAUUGCUGUGCGUAAAAGCCAGCUUUUCUUGAGUUCAGAUCUAUGUCUCUAUAUACUCCAUAAGAAUGUAUCAGAAUGUUGUAUAUAGGCUUUUGUGCCUUUGAAACAAUAAAACAACUUUCAACAACGGAUCUCUUGGCUCUC